CCUACGGGAGCAGCAGUCCUACUGUAGGCAACAGGCGGAAUCUUCCUCAAUGGACGAAAGCCUGACGGAGAGACGCCGCGUGAGCUAAGAACGCCUUCGGGUCGUAAAGCUAUGUUCUGGGGGAAGAACUAAGUGACGGUACUCCAGGAGAAAGCCCCCCCGAAUUACUGUGCCAGCAGCCGCGGUAAUAAUUAGGGGGCGCGCGUUGUCCGGAAUAUUCUGGGCGUAAAAAGGCGCGUAGUCGGUGGCUGAUAUCUGUGGGGAAAUACUCGCAGCAUCAUCAGCGGGGGUGCCCUUGAAACCAUUGGACUUGAGGGCCGGAGAGGGGAGUGGAGUUCCCGGUGUAGCGGUGAAAAAGUAGAUAUCUGGAGGAAGACCAGUGGGGAGGGCGGCUCUCUGGCCUGGCCCUGACGCUGAGGCGCGAAAGAGUGUGGGGCAAACACGAUUAUAUACCCCCCUGGUCCUCGCUGUAAAAAAUGGGUGCUAGGUGUUGGGGGGAUAGGACC
rnacentral:rRNA from 1 species